rnacentral:misc_RNA from 1 species
GAUGAAGAACGUAGCAAAAUGCGAUACUUGGUGUGAAUUGCAGAAUCCCGUGAACCAUCGAGUUUUUGAACGCAAGUUGCGCCCGAAGCCUUUUGGCCGAGGGCACGUCUGCCUGGGCGUCACGCAUCGCGUCGCCCCCCACAACUCUCCGUAAAGGGAACUUGUGUUUUGGGGGCGGAUAUUGGUCUCCCGUGCUCAUGGCGUGGUUGGCCGAAAUAGGAGUCCCUCCGGUGGACGCACGAACUAGUGGUGGUCGUAAAAACCCUCGUCUUUUGUUUCGUGCCGUUAGUCGCGAGGGAAACUCUUUAAAAACACAAAUGUGUCGUCUCUUGACGGCGCUUCGACCGCGACCCCAGGUCAGGCGGGACUACCCGCUGAGUUUAAGCAUAUCAAUAAGCGGAGGA